rnacentral:rRNA from 1 species
AGGACACGCUGGCGGCGUGCCUAACACAUGCAAGUCGAGCGGAGAUAUGUAGAGGAAGUUUUCGGAUGGAGUUUAUAUAUUUUAGCGGCGGACGGGUGAGUAACGCGUGAGGAACCUGCCCUUUACAGGGGGAUAACGCACCGAAAGAUGCACUAAUACCGCAUGAGACCACAGCACCGCAUGGUGCAGGGGUCAAAGGAGUAAUCCGGUGAAGGAGGGACUCGCGUCCGAUUAGAUAGUUGGUGAGGUAACGGCUCACCAAGGCGACGACGGGUAGCCGGCCUGAGAGGGCGACCGGCCACACUGGGACUGAGACACGGCCCAGACUCCUACGGGAGGCAGCAGUGGGGAAUAUUGCACAAUGGGCGAAAGCCUGAUGCAGCGACGCCGCGUGAGGGAUGACGGCCUUCGGGUUGUAAACCUCUUCAGCAGGGAAGAAGCGAAAGUGACGGUACCUGCAGAAGAAGCACCGGCUAACUACGUG